CGCUCAAAAAUCUGAGCUCUGGAGAGAGAAAAACGGAUAAAGCCUCUCUCUCUUUCCGCUCUUCUCCAUCAUAUUCAGUACCAGUCCUUACUCAACAGGAGGCGAAGAAAUGCUAGCAAACCCUAGCAUCCACGCUCCAUUGCUUCACACCAAUCGGUGGAGGCUCCCUCUCUCCUGCAAUCUCCACCGCUCUCUCCGCCCCAAAAAGGCCCCACGCAGUUCCUCUUCUCUGCUUUUCUCUUCAAAAUCCUGCAGUUUUGGUGUCAGGGCUUUGGCCGAAUCCCAAGCUUCCGAGAUCAAUCCUUCAUCGGUCGAGGCGCCGCCGGGAGUUGCUCAGCCCUUCUCAGUGAAAAUUCCGGUCGGCGAUCGACACAUCUUAGUUGAGACAGGUCAUAUAGGGAGACAAGCUAGUGGCUCUGUUACAGUAACUGAUGGUGAAACUAUUGUCUAUACAUCUGUUUGCUUGGCUGAUGUUCCUAGCGAGCCUUCUGAUUUUUUCCCUCUUUCCGUAAAUUAUCAAGAACGCUUCUCGGCAGCAGGUCGGACUAGUGGGGGAUUUUUCAAACGAGAAGGGAGGACAAAAGAUCAUGAGGUUCUCAUUUGUAGAUUGAUUGACAGGCCUUUGCGCCCAACUAUGCUUAAGGGCUUCUACCAUGAAACUCAGAUACUAUCUUGGGUUUUGAGCUAUGAUGGACUGCACUCCCCUGAUUCUUUAGCAGUUACGGCAGCUGGAAUAGCAGUAGCUCUUUCAGAAUUGCCAAUAUCAAAAGCAGUUGCAGGAGUUCGAGUUGGUAUGGUCGGGAAUAAGUUUAUCAUUAACCCAACAACCAAGGAGAUGGAGGACUCAGAGUUGGAUUUGUUGGUCGCAGGGACAGAUAGUGCAAUAUUGAUGAUAGAGGGUUAUUGUAAUUUUCUCCCGGAAGAAAAGUUAUUGCAAGCUGUAGAAGUUGGGCAGGAUGCAGUACGGGCAAUUUGCAAUGAAGUGGAGGCUUUGGCUAAGAAAUAUGGGAAACCAAAAAUGCUUGAUGCGAUAAAGUUACCUCCUCCAGAGCUAUAUAGGCAUGUUGAAGAAAUUGCAGGGCAGCAGUUGGGUAAGGUGCUUCAAAUUAGGAAUAAAAUACCGAGAAGAAAGGCCCUUAUAUCAUUGGAAGAAGAAGUUUUAACUAUACUUACAGAAGAGGGGUAUGUAAGUAAGGAUGAAACCUUGGGAACUGCCGAAACAAUACAGGAUUUAUUUGAGGAUGAAGAUGAGGAUGAAGAAGUGGUUGUGGAUGGUGAAGUAGAUGAAGGUGAUGUUCACAUAAAGCCAAUUCCACGGAAAUCCAGUCCUUUGUUUUUUUCUGAGGUAGAUGUGAAGCUGGUAUUUAAAGAAGUUACAUCCAAAUUUCUACGGAGACGUAUUGUUGAGGGUGGCAAAAGAAGUGAUGGUCGAACCCCAGAUGGGAUACGUUUAAUCAACUCGCAAUGUGGAUUACUUCCUAGAGCACAUGGAAGUGCUCUUUUCACACGGGGGGAAACUCAGUCAUUAGCAGUGGUUACACUUGGUGAUAGACAAAUGGCACAAAGGAUAGACAACCUUGUCGAUGUAGAUGAAUUGAAGAGGUUCUAUCUUCAGUACUCAUUUCCUCCUUCAUGUGUUGGAGAGGUAGGACGGAUGGGAGCACCCAGUAGAAGGGAAAUUGGUCAUGGUAUGCUUGCAGAGAGAGCACUUGAGCCAAUUUUGCCUUCUGAAGAUGAUUUUCCUUACACUAUACGUGUUGAGAGCACUAUUACUGAAAGCAAUGGCUCUUCAAGCAUGGCAUCUGUUUGUGGGGGUUGCUUGGCUUUGCAAGAUGCUGGGGUUCCAGUAAAAUACUCCAUUGCUGGAAUAGCAAUGGGUAUGGUUUUGAACACAGAGGAAUUUGGUGGAGAUGGAACCCCACUUAUUCUAUCUGACAUAACUGGAUCUGAAGAUGCAUCUGGAGAUAUGGAUUUUAAGGUUGCUGGAACUGAAGAUGGUAUAACUGCAUUUCAGAUGGACAUAAAGGUAGGGGGAAUUACGUUACCAAUUAUGAAGCAGGCACUCCUACAAGCAAAAGAUGGCCGAAAACAGAUUCUUGCUGAGAUGUCAAAAUGCUCACCUCUACCUGCAAAAAGACUUUCUAAAUAUGCUCCCCUGAUUCACAUUAUGAAGGUCAAGCCAGAGAAAAUUAACAUCAUUAUUGGUCCUGGUGGGAAGAAAGUGAAGAGUAUUAUUGAAGAAACUGGAGUAGAAGCUAUUGACACACAAGAUGAUGGAAUAGUGAAAAUCACUGCAAAGGAUUUGACAAGCCUGGAGAAGUCUAAAACCAUUAUUAGUAGCCUGACAAUGGUUCCAACUGUUGGUGAUAUUUACAGGAAUUGUGAGAUCAAAUCAAUAGCUCCUUAUGGAGUUUUUGUUGAGAUUGCAUCAGGCCGUGAGGGACUUUGUCAUAUUAGUGAGUUGAGUCCAAGUUGGCUGGCAAAGACGGAAGAUGCUUUUAAAGUUGGAGACCGCCUCGAUGUUAAACUUAUUGAGAUAAAUGAUAAAGGACAGCUUCGCCUUAGCCGGAAAGCAUUACUUCCCAAUGCAAAUCCAGAGAAACCCAGUUUGAAGCAACGUACAAGUAGUAAGGAAAAUGCUGCUUCACAGAAAGCUCCUGAUAAGGGUACAACUAAAAAGGCUGUGAACAUGCCAAAGGAUGGAUUAGGAGAAGUGAAUGUAGAGCUGUCCAAUGAUACAAGUAGCAACCCAAAACCUGUGAGCUCACAUACAACUAAUUCAGCCGAAGGUGAUGCACUCCCUCAGAAGAUUAUUAAGAGAUUAGUCAGCUCUGGAAGAGAUGAACCUGAUACUAACAAAGAGAGGCCAAAGAAGAGCAUUAGUAAAGCAGUUACCAGUGUCUCCAACAAAGAUGAAAGUAGUUUAGUGAAUGGAGAAGCGAAAAUCUGAUACCAAGUAUAUCUCAUUCUCGGUUUAGUGAUGAAGAAUUGCAUGAACCUAUUUCUACGGAGAGAGUGCUGGUUGAAGGUCCCUCAUGCUAACAGGACUCAAAGGAAGGGAUUCUUACAUGAUUUUCCCCCCUGAAAGCUUGCCAUUAUAAUGAUAGUGUUGAAAAUUAACCUGGAGCAGAAGGAACCUAAUAAAAUGUAGCCUCUCAUGGUGUGUUCAUCUUAGGGAUAAAAAGGCUCAUAGCAAGGGGUUUAUCUUAUCAAUGGUCAAUGUUUGACGAGAAAACUCCCAUUUUCAGUUCAGGGGUUAAACUUGCAUGCUAGAAUGCUAGAGAGGUGCGGCCUUUCAUCCCUUGCUGCUUUCAUAACAAUUGAUUUUGGACUGUCAUCUCAAGGAUGCUUUUCCUAUUCAAUUUGCAUCCUGCCCUUCUCAACAUGAUAAUUAUUUGCCAUUUCGACUGAAUCUCCAAAAGAUUAAGGUGCAUUUUUGUUGGUCCUUCAUGCCCUUUUGUAAGGGUUUGCGUAGCCAACUUCAUUGUUGUAUGUUCAUUAUUGUACUUGUGUUGUGUGCUCAUUCUAGGGUGUUCAUUUUGUAUAUCAUGGAAAUCGCAUUCAAUUUUCAGUUUGAAUCAAGGGGUACAGUCUUUUACAGGAA